rnacentral:lncRNA from 1 species
AACCAGCCCGUGAAGGCCCACAGCCUGGAUCGUGUGCCAAGUUUCCCAGAAAACUGAAGGGAAACUUACUUGACUUAUUGGUCUUAGAGCCUCAAGGCAGGAAAGUCCCAGGAGAACAGCCCUGCCCAAGGUGUCACAUGGGUCUGUAUGCUGACUCAAUUUGUCCCACGUGGAGAUAUGUCUAAAGGCUUUGCUGGAUAAGCCCAGAUGGAUAUUUUUUUGGCCAAUCUGCCCUGAAGGGACCUGCUCACACGUACAGCGAGAUGUGCAUACUGGAGGACUUUCCAGGAUGGCAAAAACCUGGUCAGUGAAAUGGUCAGGUGUUAGGGUGACAUCCUCUUCCCUCUGAGAAGCAUAAUUCAAAAUUCUGCUUCCAUGGAUCACCCUCCCAACUGAUUCUCCUGAGAGAUGGAUCCACGGGGUGGUGUGAGGGUGGAGGAGGGAGCACCUCAAUGGCAGAACCUGGGGGACCUCAGUCACUCAACUGGGAAUUGGCAUGACAGCCCCUUCAGGCCUCGAGACAUCAGCUCCAGCCCCAAGCGGCCAUUGCCAAGGUUGUGGGUGCACAGUCCCGCUCCCUUUCUGUCCUUCCUUCCUUCAUGGGCUCUAAUUUCUGUUUCUGCCCCCAAAGGAUGAUGGGACAGAAACGCAGUAUAAAGUUGUCGCCGAGCGCUCCAUCCUUGAAGAUGCGAGGAAGAUUUAAUUUGCUGUUACAUUAGGUGGCAAGAUCUCGAGGAAUUUGUUCAUUAUCUCUUAGGCUCAGUUUCUUCAUCUGAGAAACGAGGUUGAUACUUGCCUUGCAAGACUGUCAUGAAAAUGAAAAGAGAGAAUAGUCAUAAAGCUCUUAGCCCAGCGACUGACAUGUAGGAAGUGUUCGUUAAAUAUAUUUAUUUAUUCAGCAAAUAUUUAUUAAGCAUCUCUUAAGAGCCUGGCAUUGUUCUAGGCACCUGGGUCACACAAGUGGAUGGUCGCUCUUAUUAUGGGAUCCUGGCAGGGUGGACAGACUGUGGGGUUAAGGAAAAGCCAGCCUUGGGAGUUCUCAUGAGGACAUGGGUUCGAUCCCCGGCCUUGCUCAGUGGGUUAAGGAUCUGGCAUUGCCAUGGCUGUGGGAUGGGUCACAGAUGAGGCUCAGAUGCCGAGUUGCUAUGGCUGCAUAGGCUGGCAGCUCUACCUCCGAUUCAACCCCAUAUGCCUUGGGUGCGGCCAUUAAAAAAAAAAAAGAAAAAAGAAGAAAGGAAGAAAUUCCAGAGGGAGCUGUGGGAGGGGAAAAAAGAGGGUCCACAUUAUUGCCCACUCCCCGAGAGAGACUCCGGGUCCCCUCCCCACUGGGAGCUGGCACUCUAGACCGAAAACUCCCACAGGUGAGUCUAGCGCCUGGGUCUUCUCUCCUCUUAUGGAGAGUGGGGCAUCCAGUGAUGCAGCAGAGUGCACGUCUCAUGCCUGCUUCCAGCCAGGUCAGCCCCAGCUGCCCACUCCCUGGAGCCUGUGCUGGGCCUCUUCCCCACGUUCCAGGUCUUAAUGGUACCCCCAGAACACUGGGCUUAGUUAGGGGUGGAAUCUUACACUUCACUUGGAUGUGCUUUCCAGCUCUUUCCCUGUCAUCCGCCUUUCUCCCCACCUGCCUCCCACCCCUGGCUGCUUUACCACGGGGCCAGCUGCUGCUCCCGCAGUUAGGAUUUUAACACCAAAGAGACUCAAGGACGGAGGGGAUCAUGUGGAAAUUAGGGUAGCACAUUCAUUAACACGGGCUGUUCUUUGAAACCACAACCACAAAAAGACAUGGAGAAAAAAUUAGGAUAGUACAUUCAUUAACACGGGCUGUUCUUUGAAACCACAACCGCAAAAAGACAUGGAGAAAAGAACAAUAUUUUGCGCCACAGACUGACCGACCGCCUCCCAGCAGGAGAUGUUUUGCUUGUUGGACAUUAAGAGAUGUAGUUUCCGCGUCCAUCGCAGGUGGGAAACCAGCCAGCCCAGUGUUGUUCUCAGUUCCUUUCAGUUUGGGGACAUCUGUGCAGCCUUACCGUUCCUAUGGACAGGGAUAGGAAAGUCCCCUCUUAACACAGGCCAGCUUGUGUUCACAGAGUCCAGGAGAAAGGAAUGUUUGGGGUUUCCAGGCAGCUCCUGGGGCUUGGUUUCAAAGACUGCCUACUGUCUAGCCUCCCAGAGGCCCUGCAGCAGCACAGAGGUGGAGCAGUCCAUACUCAGAAGAAGGAUGGCUGGGGCCGAUGGGGGCCUGGGGCCCUCUUAUUGGUAGGAAGAGGAUUUGCUUCUUGAACCACUACACGCAGGAGAGGCCGAGAUCCUCAGACAAAGUGAUUUUCUUGAGCACCUCCCAGCACCAGGGAUCGCUUUGGGGCACGCUGAGAUCUCCACUAAGGCAGCCAACAGCGGGGAGAGAACGCUGUUCUCAGCCAGGAUACCCCAAUUCACUACUCACAGGCUUUGGAGAUUGCCUCUGGGGGAGCUGUGUCCUCCCGCCCUGGAGCAGCUUCCCAAACAGGCCUGCUGCUCUUUGGGGGAUCCAGGACUCGAUGCCACCGCAGGCCUUCGGUUUUCUUCUGCACCUCCUCCCUGGUCUGUCUUCCCAGAACACGGCGUCCUUCCCCACCCCCAACCCCCCACCCCGCCCCAAAGCAGAUGCUGGUGCUGCCGCGAAGACCCCGGCUUAAACUGAGCAAACCGCCCACGCCACAAAUCUGAACGCUGCGCAAAGGAUGGGAGCACUGAAGGCUUUAUCUCUUGCAGCAAACGGCACACAUU